UACAGAGGUCUCAAGCGUUGUUCGGAUUCAUUGGGCGUAAAGGGUGCGUAGGCGGCGCGCUAAGUCGGGUGUGAAAUUUCGGAGCUUAACUCCGAAACUGCAUUCGAUACUGGCGUGCUUGAGGACUGGAGAGGGACUGGAAUUCAUGGUGUAGCAGUGAAAUGCGUAGAGAUCAUGAGGAAGACCAGUGGCGAAGGCGGGUCUCUGGACAGUUCCUGACACUGAGACACGAAGGCCAGGGGAGCAAACGGG
rnacentral:rRNA from 1 species